rnacentral:misc_RNA from 1 species
GAUGAAGAACGUAGUGAAAUGCGAUACUUGGUGUGAAUUGCAGAAUCCCGUGAACCAUCGAGUCUUUGAACGCAAGUUGCGCCCGAAGCCAUCAGGUUGAGGGCACGUCUGCCUGGGCGUCACAUAUCGUUGCUCGAUGCCUAUCGCAUUGCGAUAGGACUUAGGGCGAAUGAUGGCUUCCCGUGAGCGUUGUUGCCUCGCGGUUGGUUGAAAAUCGAGUCCUUGGUAGGGUGUGCCAUGAUAGAUGGUGGUCGAGUUAGCACGAGACCGAUAAUGUGCAUGCUCCCCAAAAUAUGGCCUCUGUGACCCACACGCGUCUUUUGACGCUCAUGACGAUACCUCAGGUCAGGCGGGGCUACCCGCUGAAUUAAAGCAUAUCAAUAAGCGGAGGA